rnacentral:rRNA from 1 species
CUCAGGACGAACGCUGGCGGCGUGCUUAAUACAUGCAAGUCGAACGCAAUCUUUGACCACUGAGUGCUUGCACUCAGCGUUUAAAGUGCGAGUGGCGAACGGGUGAGUAACACGUGGGCAAUCUGCCCAAAAGUGGGGGAUAACACUUGGAAACAGGUGCUAAUACCGCAUCAACCGGCUGACCGCAUGGUCGGCCGGGCAAAGACGGCGUCAGCUGUCGCUUUUGGAUGAGCCCGCGGCGUAUUAACUAGUUGGUAAGGUAACGGCUUACCAAGGUGAUGAUACGUAGCCGAACUGAGAGGUUGAUCGGCCACAUUGGGACUGAGACACGGCCCAAACUCCUACGGGAGGCAGCAGUAGGGAAUCUUCCACAAUGGACGCAAGUCUGAUGGAGCAACGCCGCGUGUAUGAAGAAGGUCUUCGGAUCGUAAAAUACUGUUGUCAGAGAAGAACACGUGAUAGAGUAACUGCUAUGRCGCUGACGGUAUCUGACCAGCAAGUCACGGCUAACUACGUGCCAGCAGCCGCGGUAAUACGUAGGUGGCAAGCGUUGUCCGGAUUUAUUGGGCGUAAAGGGAACGCAGGCGGUCUUUUAAGUCUGAUGUGAAAGCCUUCGGCUUAACCGGAGAAGUGCAUUGGAAACUGGAAGACUUGAGUGCAGAAGAGGAGAGUGGAACUCCAUGUGUAGCGGUGAAAUGCGUAGAUAUAUGGAAGAACACCAGUGGCGAAAGCGGCUCUCUGGUCUGUAACUGACGCUGAGGUUCGAAAGCGUGGGGAGCGAACAGGAUUAGAUA